AGCGAACGCUGGCGGCAGGCCUAACACAUGCAAGUCGAACGAAGUCUUCGGACUUAGUGGCGGACGGGUGAGUAACACGUGGGAACGUGCCUUUAGGUUCGGAAUAACUCAGGGAAACUUGUGCUAAUACCGAAUGUGCCCCUCGGGGGAAAGAUUUAUCGCCUUUAGAGCGGCCCGCGUCUGAUUAGCUAGUUGGUGAGGUAAAGGCUCACCAAGGCGACGAUCAGUAGCUGGUCUGAGAGGAUGAUCAGCCACAUUGGGACUGAGACACGGCCCAAACUCCUACGGGAGGCAGCAGUGGGGAAUCUUGCGCAAUGGGCGAAAGCCUGACGCAGCCAUGCCGCGUGGAUGAUGAAGGUCUUAGGAUUGUAAAAUCCUUUCACCGGUGAAGAUAAUGACUGUAGCCGGAGAAGAAGCCCCGGCUAACUUCGUGCCAGCCGCCGCCGUAAAAC
rnacentral:rRNA from 1 species